GAUGGACGCUGGCGGCGUGCCUAAUACAUGCAAGUCGAGCGAACAGACGAGGAGCUUGCUCCUCUGACGUUAGCGGCGGACGGGUGAGUAACACGUGGGUAACCUACCUAUAAGACUGGGAUAACUCCGGGAAACCGGGCGUAAUACCGGAUAACACAUAAAACCGACAUGGUUUCAUGAUGAAAGACGGUUUUGUCUGUCACUUAUAGAUGGACCCGCGGCGUAUUAGCUAGUUGGUAAGGUAACGGCUUACCAAGGCAACGAUACGUAGCCGACCUGAGAGGGUGAUCGGCCACACUGGAACUGAGACACGGUCCAG
rnacentral:rRNA from 1 species